rnacentral:rRNA from 1 species
GGGGAAUAUUGGACAAUGGGGAAACCCUGAUCCAGCGACGCCGCGUGGGUGAAGAAGGCCUGCGGGUUGUAAAGCCCUUUCGGUAGGGACGAAAACUCUUGAUCUAACAAAUCAGGAGCUUGACUUAACCUACAUAAGAAGCACCGGCUAACUCUGUGCCAGCAGCCGCGGUAAUACAGAGGGUGCGAGCGUUAAUCGGAAUUACUGGGCGUAAAGCGCACGUAGGCGGCUUUGUAAGUCGGAUGUGAAAUCCCCGGGCUCAACCUGGGAACUGCACCCGAAACUACAUUGCUAGAGUAUGGGAGAGGGAGGCGGAAUUUCCGGUGUAGCAGUGAAAUGCGUAGAUAUCGGAAGGAACAUCAGUGGCGAAGGCGGCCUCCUGGACCAAUACUGACGCUCAGGUGCGAAAGCGUGGGGAGCAAAC